rnacentral:rRNA from 1 species
UACGUAGGGUGCAAGCGUUGUCCGGAAUUAUUGGGCGUAAAGAGCUCGUAGGCGGUCUGUUGCGUCGGCUGUGAAAACCCGGGGCUCAACUCCGGGCCUGCAGCCGAUACGGGCAGACUAGAGUUCGGCAGGGGAGACUGGAAUUCCUGGUGUAGCGGUGAAAUGCGCAGAUAUCAGGAGGAACACCAGCGGCGAAGGCGGCGCUCUGGGCCGGAACUGACGCUGAGGAGCGAAAGCGUGGGUAGCAAACAGG